GGAAGGAUCAUUAAUGAGUGCAGACCCUCUGGGUCUAACCUCCCACCCGUGUCUAUUGUACCUUGUUGCUUCGGUGGGCCCGCCGUCAGGCCGCCGGGGGACGCUGUCCCCGGGCCCGCGCCCGCCGAAGACACCCUGGAACUCUGUCUGUGAGUGUUGUCUGAGUGGAAUUUAAAUCAGUUAAAACUUUCAACAACGGAUCUCUUGGUUCCGGCAUCGAUGAAGAACGCAGCGAAAUGCGAUAAGUAAUGUGAAUUGCAGAAUUCAGUGAAUCAUCGAGUCUUUGAACGCACAUUGCGCCCCCUGGUAUUCCGGGGGGCAUGCCUGUCCGAGCGUCAUUGCACCCCUCAAGCCCGGCUUGUUCUUGGGUCGUGUCUCUCCAUCUCGGGGAGACAGGCCUUAAACGCAAUGGCGGCACCGCGUCCGGUCCUCGAGCGUAUGGGGCUUCGUCACCCGCUUCGUAGGCCGGCCGGUCGCUUGCUCUCCAACCCCAAUCUUCUUAGGUUGACCUCGGAUCAGGUAGGGAUACCCGCUGAACUUAAGCAUAUCAAUAAGCGGAGGAAAAGAAACCAACAGGGAUUGCCUCAGUAACGGCGAGUGAAGCGGCAAGAGCUCAAAUUUGAAAGCUGGCUCCUUCGGGGUCCGCAUUGUAAUUUGCAGAGGAUGCUUCGGGAGCGGCCCCCAUCUAAGUGCCCUGGAACGGGCCGUCAUAGAGGGUGAGAAUCCCGUCUGGGAUGGGGUGCCCGCGCCCGUGUGAAGCUCCUUCGACGAGUCGAGUUGUUUGGGAAUGCAGCUCUAAAUGGGUGGUAAAUUUCAUCUAAAGCUAAAUAUUGGCCGGAGACCGAUAGCGCACAAGUAGAGUGAUCGAAAGAUGAAAAGCACUUUGAAAAGAGAGUUAAAAAGCACGUGAAAUUGUUGAAAGGGAAGCGCUUGCGACCAGACUCGCCCGCGGGGUUCAGCCGGUAUUCGUACCGGUGUACUUCCCCGUGGGCGGGCCAGCGUCGGUUUGGGCGGCCGGUCAAAGGCCCUCGGAAUGUAACGCCUCUCGGGGCGUCUUAUAGCCGAGGGUGCCAUGCGGCCAGCCCGGACCGAGGAACGCGCUUCGGCACGGACGCUGGCAUAAUGGUCGUAAGCGACCCGUCUUGAAACACGGACCAAGGAGUCUAACAUCUACGCGAGUGUUCGGGUGUCAAACCCGUGCGCGCAGUGAAAGCGAACGGAGGUGGGAACCCUUUGGGUGCACCAUCGACCGAUCCUGAUGUCUUCGGAUGGAUUUGAGUAAGAGCGUAGCUGUUGGGACCCGAAAGAUGGUGAACUAUGCCUGAAUAGGGCGAAGCCAGAGGAAACUCUGGUGGAGGCUCGCAGCGGUUCUGACGUGCAAAUCGAUCGUCAAAUUUGGGUAUAGGGGCGAAAGACUAAUCGAACCAUCUAGUAGCUGGUUCCUGC
rnacentral:misc_RNA from 1 species